rnacentral:rRNA from 1 species
UACGGGGGGAGCAAGCGUUGUUCGGAUUUACUGGGCGUAAAGGGCGCGUAGGCGGCGUGGCAAGUCACUUGUGAAAUCUCCGGGCUUAACUCGGAGCGGUCAAGUGAUACUGUCGUGCUAGAGUGCGGAAGGGGCUACUGGAAUUCUCGGUGUAGCGGUGAAAUGCGUAGAUAUCGAGAGGAACACCUGCGGCGAAGGCGGGUUGCUGGGCUGAUACUGACGCUGAGGCGCGAAAGCCAGGGGAGCGAACGGG